rnacentral:rRNA from 1 species
AUGGGGGACGCGGCGGCAGGGAAGGCGUCGUUCCUGGAGAUGGUCCGGUACGCGGACGCGCACGACCUGAGCCUCAUGAUGCUGGGCGUGCUGGGGAGCUUCGGCGACGGCAUGAUGCAGCCGCUCCUCAUGCUCGUGCUCGGCGACAUCAUCAACAGCUACGGCGCCGCCGGGAGCGCCGGCAGCACCGGCAGCGCCUUCAGCUCCAGCGCCGUCGACAAGUUCGCGCUCCGGUUGCUGUAUCUCGCGGUUGCAGUGGGCGCAUGCUCUUUCCUAGAGGGGGUGUGCUGGACCAGAACGGCGGAGCGACAGGCGUCCAGGAUGCGGAGGCUGUACCUGGAGGCCGUGCUGCGGCAGGAGGUGCACUUCUUCGACGCCGCGCCCUCCUCGCAGUCCACCACCUUCGGGAUCAUCACCACCAUCUCCGACGACGCCGACACCAUCCAGGACUUCCUCAGCGAGAAGCUUCCCAUGGUGCUGGCCAACGUGACGCUCUUCUUCGGCGCCAUGUCCGUGUGCUUCGUCUUCGCGUGGCGCCUCGCGCUGGCGGGCCUCCCCUUGACCUUCCUCUUCUUCGUGCCAAGCGUGGUCCUCGGCAAGCGCAUGGUCGCCGCGGCCGGGGAGUCGCGCGCGGCCUACGAAGCCGCGGGCGGCAUCGCCGACCAGGCCGUCUCCUCCAUCCGGACGGUGGCGUCCUACAACGGGGAGCGCCACACGCUGGAGCGGUUCAGGAUCGCGCUGGCGCGGAGCACGGCGCUGGGCAUCAAGCAGGGGCUCAUCAAGGGCGCCGUGAUCGGGAGCAUGGGCGCCAUCUACGCCGUCUGGUCCUUCAUGUCCUGGCUCGCCAGCGUCCUCGUCAUCCACCAGCACGCCCAGGGCGGCCACGUCUUCGUCGCCGCCAUCUGCAUCGUCUUGGCGGGAAUCUCCAUCAUGGCGGCGCUCCCGAACCUACGCUACUUCGUGGACGCCUCGGCCGCGGCGGCCCGGAUGCGCGGGAUGAUCGAGAAGCUCCCGCCUCUCAAGGAGGCCGGCAAGAAGGGCGCCACCAAGGACGUCGUGAGGGGCCAGAUCGUGUUCAAGGACGUGCACUUCACGUACCCGUCGAGGCCGGACACGCGGGUGCUCAACGGCGUCAACUUGACCAUGUCCGAGGGCGCGACCAUCGGGCUCGUCGGCGGCAGCGGGUCCGGGAAGUCCACCGUCAUCGCCUUGCUGCAGAGGUUCUACCGCCCAGACAGCGGGGAGAUACUGCUCGACGGCGACGACAUUGGCUCGCUCAACGCGGAGUGGCUCCGGAGCAAGAUCGGCCUGGUGAGCCAAGAGCCCGUGCUGUUCGCCACGUCCAUCAGGGAGAAUAUACUGUUCGGCAACGAGACGGCUUCGCCGGAGCAGAUCAUCGACGCGGCCAAGAUGGCUAAUGCCCACGAGUUCAUCACCAAAUUGCCCAAUGGAUACAACACGCAUGUGGGGCAGUUCGGGACGCAGAUGUCGGGAGGCCAGAAGCAGCGGAUCGCCAUUGCCCGCGCGCUCAUCCGGGACCCCAAGAUCCUGCUCCUGGACGAGGCGACGAGCGCGCUGGAUUCCGAGUCGGAGCGGACGGUGCAGGACGCGCUGGACCGGGCGUCCGUGGGCCGGACCACCGUCAUCGUGGCGCACCGCCUCUCCACGCUCCGCAAGGCCGACACGAUUGCCGUGCUCGACGAGGGCCGCGUGGUGGAGUUCGGCACGCACGACGAGCUCGUCGCCAUGGACGGAGGCGAAGGCGGCGUGUACGCCAAGAUGGUGCACCUGCAGAGCUCGUCCGCGGCGCAGGCGGACGGGCCCCGCGUGGUAGAGGAGGAGGAGAAGUUCCAUAGCGUGGAGAUCGCGUCGCCGGCCGGCGAGCUCCGACCUAGCCCGGUGCGGUCGUUCCGGUCUGUCGAGCCCACCGUGGAAAUCAGCCAGCUCGCGGUCCCCGUCGCGCACGCAGCGCAGCCCCAGAAGUCGUUGCAUCUUCGUCUGCUCAAGAUGAACCGCCCGGAGUGGAAGCAGGCUCUGCUCGGGUGCGCUGGCGCGAUCAUAUUCGGCGCGGUGCUGCCGCUCUACUCGUACAGCAUGGGCUCGCUGCCGGCGGUGUACUUCCUCACCGACCACGACCUCAUCCGUGCAAAGACCAGGGCCUACUCUCUCAUCUUCCUCGCGAUCGCCAUAGUCUGCAUCGCCGCCAACAUCGUGGAGCACUAUAACUUCGCCGUCAUGGGCGAGCGCCUGACGGAGCGCGUCCGGGACCAGAUGCUGGCCAAGAUCCUCUCCUUCGAGGUCGGGUGGUUCGACGAGGACGAGAACUCGAGCGCGGCCGUGUGCGCGCGGCUGGCGACGCAGGCGACCAAGGUCCGGUCCCUCGUCGGGGACCGGAUGUGCCUGCUGGUGCAGGCGGGCGCCACGGCGUCCCUGGGAUUCGCGCUGGCGCUCUACGUGUCGUUGCGCCUCGCGGCGGUGAUGAUGGCCCUGCAGCCGCUGGUGAUCGCCAGCUUCUACUUCAAGAAGGUGCUCAUGACGGCCGGCUCCAGGAAGGCCAAGAAGGCGCAGGUGCAGGGCAGCCAGCUCGCCAGCGAGGCCGUGGUGAACCACCGGACGAUCACCGCCUUCUCGUCGCAGCGGCGGAUGCUCCAGCUGUACGAGGCCGCGCAGGUGGGCCCGAGGAAGGACACCAUCACGCAGUCCUGGUUCUCGGGCUUCUGCCUGUGCCUGUGCCAGUUCAACGCCACGGCGAGCACGGCGCUCGCUCUGUGGUACGGAGGCAAGCUCAUGGCCAGCCGGCAGAUCAACACCACGCAGCUGUUCCAGGUGUUUUUCAUCCUCAUGAGCAUGGGGAGGGUCAUCGCCGACGCCGGGAGCUUGACGUCGGACCUGGCGCAAGGCGGCGACGCGGUGCAGUCCAUCCUCGACACGCUGGACCGUGAACCGGCGAUCAAAUCCGGCACCAGCGACAGUGCCAGCGAGUCCGACGACGACAAGGAGAAGAUGCAGAAGGGGAUCAAGGGAGCCAUCGAGUUCAGGGACGUGCACUUCAGCUACCCGACGCGGCCGGAGGUGACGGUGCUCGCCGGGCUGAGCCUCGAGAUCGGCGCGGGCAAGACGGUGGCGCUGGUGGGGCCGAGCGGGUCGGGCAAGUCCACGGUGAUCGGGCUGAUCGAGCGGUUCUACGACGUGCGGAGCGGCUCCAUCCUGAUCGACGGCAAGGACAUCCGGGGGUACGGCCUGACGCACCUCCGGUCGCACGUGGCGCUGGUGAGCCAGGAGCCGACGCUCUUCUCCGGCACGAUCCGCGACAACAUCAUGUACGGCGACGAGCACGCGACGGAGGAGGAGGUGAGGAGCGCGGCGGCGCUGGCCAACGCCCACGAGUUCAUCAGCGGGAUGGAGAGCGGGUACGACACGCAGAUCGGGGAGCGCGGGGCGCAGCUGUCGGGCGGGCAGAGGCAGCGGAUCGCGCUGGCGAGGGCGGUGCUGAAGAACGCGAGGAUCCUCUUGCUGGACGAGGCGACGAGCGCGCUGGACACGGUGUCGGAGCGGCUGGUGCAGGACGCCGUGGACCGGAUGCUGCAGGGGACCAGGACGUGCGUGGUGGUGGCGCACAGGCUCUCCACGGUGCAGAACUCGGACAUGAUCGCCGUGGUCAAGGACGGGAGGGUGGCGGAGAGAGGGACGCACCGCGACCUCGUCGCCCUCGGCCGCGCGGGGAUGUACUACAACCUCAUCAAGCUGCAGCACGGCACGUCGCCCUGCCAUAGCCCGAUGCGUGCGGUAAGCAACUGA